rnacentral:rRNA from 1 species
GGUACCUGCAAUCCUGGAGGUGUCAGCCGCCGCGGUAAUACGUAGGUGGCAAGCGUUGUCCGGAUUUACUGGGUGUAAAGGGCGCGCAGGCGGGAAUGCAAGUCAGAUGUGAAAUCCAUGGGCUCAACCCAUGAACUGCAUUUGAAACUGUAGAUCUUGAGUGUCGGAGAGGCAAUCGGAAUUCCUAGUGUAGCGGUGAAAUGCGUAGAUAUUAGGAGGAACACCAGUGGCGAAGGCGGCCUACUGGACGACAACUGACGCUGAGGCGCGAAAGCGUGGGGAGCAAACAGGAUUAGAAACCCCUGUAGUCCAGAAGUGGCUUCCAGUUAA